UACGCAGGGUGCAAGCGUUGUCCGGAAUUAUUGGGCGUAAAGAGCUCGUAGGCGGUUCGUCGCGUCGGCUGUGAAAACCCGGAGCUCAACUCCGGGCCUGCAGUCGAUACGGGCGGACUCGAGUUCGGCAGGGGAGACUGGAAUUCCUGGUGUAGCGGUGAAAUGCGCAGAUAUCAGGAGGAACACCGGUGGCGAAGGCGGGUCUCUGGGCCGAUACUGACGCUGAGGAGCGAAAGCGUGGGGAGCGAACAGG
rnacentral:rRNA from 1 species